UACAGAGGGUGCGAGCGUUAAUCGGAAUUACUGGGCGUAAAGCGUGCGUAGACGGUUAUGUAAGUCGGGUGUGAAAGCCCCGGGCUCAACCUGGGAAUUGCAUUCGAGACUGGAUAGCUAGGGUGCGGAAGAGGGAAGCGGAAUUUCAGGUGUAGCGGUGAAAUGCGUAGAUAUCUGAAGGAACACCAGUGGCGAAAGCGGCUUCCUGGUCCAGCACCGACGUUCAGGCACGAAAGCGUGGGGAGCAAACAGG
rnacentral:rRNA from 1 species